GCUCGGGGAGAAAGAUGGUGUCACAAACCCAGGUCUUCAUGUCCCUGUUGCUUUGUGUGUCUGGUGCCAGCGCAGAUAUCAUGAUGACCCAGUCUCCAUCUUCCAUGGCUGUGUCAGCAGGAGAGAAGGUCACCAUCAGCUGCAAGUCCAGUCAGAGUCUUUUAGCUGGUAGCUUUAACCGCUUGGCAUGGUACCAGCAGAAACCAGGACAGGCUCCUAAACUACUGAUCUACUCGACAUCCACUAGAAACACUGGGGUUCCUGAUCGAUUCACAGGCAGCGGAUCUGGGACAGAUUUCACUCUCACCAUCAGCAGUGUCCAGGCUGAAGAUCUGGCAGAUUACUACUGUCAGCAGCACCACAGCUUUCCUCCCACAGUGCUUCAGCCUCCAACAAAAACCUCUCUAAGUUUCUCUCUAGCUAGCUGCACCACACAGCCCUGGACCUGCACACUUCCCCCUGCUGCCUGA